UACGGGGGGGGCAAGCGUUGUUCGGAAUUACUGGGCGUAAAGGGCUCGUAGGUGGCCAACUAAGUCAGACGUGAAAUCCCUCGGCUUAACCGGGGAACUGCGUCUGAUACUGGAUGGCUAGAGAUUGGGAGAGGGAUGCGGAAUUCCAGGUGUAGCGGUGAAAUGCGUAGAUAUCAGGAGGAACACCAAUGGCGAAGGCAGCUCGCUGGGACGGUACUGACGCUGAGACGCGAAAGCGUGGGGAGCAAACAGG
rnacentral:rRNA from 1 species